UAGACAUGCUGCACAGAUAUGAUAUUGGGUAGGAGCGAAUGAACCUAGAAGAACCCUGCUAUAGUAGAGUGGACUCGCCAGCAUCUCUUCAUGAGCCCCAUCUCCACGGCUUUCACUUUUUAUGAGUGACUGUGAGAGUGGCCUGAUAUCAAAAAGACUGCUUGAGCACUAGGCAAUCUGAGCUUAGGUGUUCCUAGUUUACAAAAUCAAUUGUUAAAACCAGUUGCUAAAGUAACUGUGUCUGUAGACAGUUAUAACCAGUGGUGGAAGCCUGCACACUGGUGCUAAGCGAAGCACAGAAUCCCCUGCUGAGCUGCAGUCAAGGCCCUCCUGUUCCAAACAGCUCAUUACCAGAUACUAUUGGUCCUGUGGUCAUCAGAAAUUAUAACAGAAUUGGAGAAGAUUGCUGCCAUUUGGUGCCCAGAUUGCUUCAAAAAAUUGUAGGAGACUGCCAUCCAGCUAUGGACUUGAGUCUAUAGAUCUUCAUCUUGGCUUCGCAAUUUGAUUCUACUUUCUCUUAGAGUUGCCUUUUUGAAUAUUCCUGCUGCAACCCAAAAUUUAUCUCUCUGUUUCUUACUUUGUGUUGUUAACUUUACAAACACACUUAAUUGCGUCCUUUCUGCUGGGUUUGUGCCAAGGACAUACCUGACUAAUUAAUCCAUUUAUAAUAUGUCAAAAAUAAAAACUCAUUUUCCAGUGCU
ensembl:lincRNA